rnacentral:lncRNA from 1 species
AUCCUUGUGGAAUAAACUCGAAUUGUGAACCCUCCAUGUGUGGCCCUUGCCAAUACAUCGCAGGGUCUCUUCCACCUUCGAUUUUGUUCGCUCCUUUGACAAUCGACCUUCAUCCCCCCCACUCUUGGGUCACACCUAGAUGAAGCACCGCUCUAGGACAGUCCGUCGCCUAGUAGCUCCCGAAGUCCACCGACUUCACUGUAAUUUGUGCAUCAUUGUCUGGAUCCUGGGCCUCUAUCCCUACCAGUACAAUCUCCGCUGUGCACCGCUUCCUUCAUGGCAACUUGAAUGGCAACACUGUGGCAUAUUCUUCAAGAGUACCCGCCUCUACGUCCUCUUGCCCCAUGCUAAGGCCUUCUGAACCCAACUUCGC